GAUGAACGCUGGCGGCGUGCCUAAUACAUGCAAGUCGAGCGAACAGACGAGGAGCUUGCUCCUUUGACGUUAGCGGCGGACGGGUGAGUAACACGUGGAUAACCUACCUAUAAGACUGGGAUAACUUCGGGAAACCGGAGCUAAUACCGGAUAAUAUAUUGAACCGCAUGGUUCAAUAGUGGAAGACGGUUUUGCUGUCACUUAUAGAUGGAUCCGCGCCGCAUUAGCUAGUUGGUAAGGUAACGGCUUACCAAGGCAACGAUGCGUAGCCGACCUGAGAGGGUGAUCGGCCACACUGGAACUGAGACACGGUCCAGACUCCUACGGGAGGCAGCAGUAGGGAAUCUUCCGCAAUGGGCGAAAGCCUGACGGAGCAACGCCGCGUGAGUGAUGAAGGUCUUCGGAUCGUAAAACUCUGUUAUUAGGGAAGAACAAAUGUGUAAGUAACUAUGCACGUCUUGACGGUACCUAAUCAGAAAGCCACGGCUAACUACGUG
rnacentral:rRNA from 1 species